GUAGGAAGACGGUAGGCUUUACUUCUGCUGUGCUCUCUAGCCUCGUGUCACGUGUCUCAUAUCGCAUAGUCUCCACACAAAACAGCUUUUAGUUGUAAUCAGAUAUCACGCUUGACUCCCCACAGAUUACGAUCACCUUCUCCGGGAUAUGUGAGUGCACUUGUGUGUGAUGGACGUUUGUUGUCUCGGAGCCAGUCACUCAGGGCAGAGCAGCCAUUAUCCCUCUCAUUAGUCGCCUCCACGUCACGUGACGUAUUAGUAUACCACUGACUGCAUGAGUCUAUAUCAGAUUAUUCAUUGCGACGGCGGAAGUCACAGCCCACCAGACGUCUUGAAGAAUAAACAACAUUCACUUGUCAUUUAUAUUGAUUCCCGACACAGGAUUCACUACUGAGCCUGUUAGUCAACACAGACGAACACCUUCAGGAUCCGCUAUGAAGUCUGCCUUAAUUGUGCUGUUGUUGAUGGCUAUCCUGGUGUCACAGACAGCAACAACGGCUCCUCCUGCUCAUGAGCGGCGUCGUGAACGCUCUGUAUUCCGCGGCGUGGCCUUCCCGCUCCCACACACCAGUCCCGACAGACGCAGUGGCGGGCGAGGUCGCCUCCCACACGGUGUGUUCGGCAACGACGGCUUGGGCAAGUGAGAUUGGAUGCGUUCCUACACACUUGAGCGUAAUCCAAGAACAUGCUGUCCGUGCUCCGGUGGCUUCAAGCUCUUCCCGUCAUGCGUUCUUAUUACUCGGAUAAAUUCAAUGUAACACCCUAAAGUGUAGAAAUAACGUUGUAAAGCCGCCAUUAUCAUGUCAUACAAACAGUAGCAAUAAAGCUAUCAGUGGGAA